CGGCGGACGGGUGAGUAACGCGUGGGUAAUCUACCCUCGAGUGGGGAAUAACACCGGGAAACUGGUGCUAAUACCGCAUGACAUCCUCGGGCCUUCGGGUCUGGGGAUCAAAGCCGGGGACCGCAAGGCCUGGCGCUUGGGGAGGAGCCCGCGUCCGAUUAGCUUGUUGGCGGGGUAACGGCCCACCAAGGCUUCGAUCGGUAGCCGGCCUGAGAGGGCGGACGGCCACACUGGGACUGAGACACGGCCCAG
rnacentral:rRNA from 1 species